UCAAGGAAGUUGCCACCUUUUGGUGCUCACUGGGCUGCUGUGGAUGUCUAACCUCAUUGCCAGCCACACAGAACCUGAAGCAGGGAUCGUUGCACCACUUAAUGUGAGACGCAGAGAAGAGUUGGGGAAUCCUGUUGGACCAGGAGGAGGAAUAAUAUUAGUUGGACCAAAUGGUAGAACAGGACCUGUGUGCUCAACCUUUCUUGGGAAUUCCAUUCCUCUUUGAGGCAGGCAUGGAAUCCCAGUGAACAUCCUGCACUCUCAGUGUCCAGCUGUCUGAGGCAACAGUUGUUUCUGAUGAUAGAGAACAAUUGCUUUUUUUUCUGAGAAGACUUCCAUGGCUGAGGAACUUUGCAAUAAAAUGCCUGCUUCCAAUACCAGAUGGCAUCACUAUUAGGACAAAAUUAAAUUUAUGAAUUACUUCUAAUAAAAUAAUGAUUGAGCAAUAUUGCAUUUUUCUACCUUAGAACAUGAUGUGAUUUUCCAUUCUUUUAUGCUGAUUUUCCUAUAUUUCAAGGACUUUUUAUCAUACUUCUCAUAUGCUUUACAAAUUUUUGUUAGAUUUAUGUAUGGCUAGUUUAUUUUAUUUUGUCCUGUUAAAAAGUAAACUGUAGCACAACAGAAAUUUUAUAAGUUUUCUUGGUUGGGAAUGGUGGCUCAUAUCUGUGAUUCCAGCACUUUGAGAGGCCAAGGUGAGAGGAUUACUUGAGGCCAGGAGUUUGAGGCCAUCCUGGAAAACAUAGUAAGACCCUGUCUCUACAAAAUAUAAGAAGAAAUUAGCCAGGUGUGGUGGUGCAUACCUGUAUUUGCAGCUACUCAUGGGGCUAAGGUGGGAGGAUGGCUUGAACUCAGGAUGUAAAACUGCAGAGAGCUUCAAUUCUCCAUGCCCUCCAGCAUGGGCAACAGAGCAGGAACCUGUUUCAAAAAACAUUUUCUUGAGUAAAAAGCAACUAAUGAAUUGUGGAACAUGAGACCACAAGAGGUUUAGCAUUUAAAUGGCAAAGUGUCAGAGGUAAGAGGGUAUUGAAAUAAUGCAGGAACAAAAUAUUAAAAUUAUUUGAUUGGUUGCAGUUAUAAAAUUGUCUUUUUUGGUUUACCUUAUAGACCUAUAUUACUAUACACGUCUUGGGUACUUCUGAUAACUAAAGCUUAAGUUCUGUUGUUGUUGUUUUUUAAUACAAGCAUUCACAAAAAAUACCUCACAUUAUGUUUUGCUUGUUUGCAAAUCAACAAGAUGAGGUCACUGAGGAGGUCUGAUUCUGUCUCCUCAGGAAUGUUUUGGGCUUUGUCCCCCUUUUAAUUUACUUUAUAAAUCACGUUGUAAUUUUUAUCUCCCACCCAUACUAUAACUUGUUAAUUACUUUUAUACCUAUGUAAAUAUCAUUUAUGUAUGAUUUCUGAGUAUAUCACUAGUGAAUAGUUUGUUACAUAGGCAUACCAUGUCUUAUUGCACUUUAUUGUGCUUCAUAGAUAUUGAAUUUCUUACAAAUUGAAGGUUUUUUGCAACCCUACAUUGAGCGACUCUAUUAACACUAUUUUUCCAACAUCAUGUGACCUUUGUGUGUGUGUAUAUCUGUGUCAGCAUUUUUAACAAUAAAGUACAUUUUUUAUCAAGGUAUAUACAUUGUUAUUAUAAACAUAGGCUGUUUCAGUCUUAUUCUACAGUAUAGUGUAAACAUCACUCUUAUAUGCAAUGGGAAACAAGAAAAGCUGUGUGACUCACAUUAUUGUGAUAUUUGUUUAAUCGCCCUGCUCUAGAGCAAAAGCCAGAUAUCUCCAAGAUAUAUCUGUAUAUUUUCAUUGAAUCGGCUUUAUUUACUGUAAUGAUAAAUCACUAUUCUUUGACUGAAAACAAGAGCUGCGGAGUGUGGAGAGGUUGGGGUAAAAAUAUAGAAGAAGUGAAGAUAAAAAGUCCUCUAAGUCACACAUGGAGUAAUACAAAUUCAGUAUGGAUUAAAUAUAAAAUUAUUUAAAAUUGAAGAGUCUCAGAAACAUUAAUGUUUAUAUCAUUAUAUAUAUAAAUUAUGAGGCAAAGAGUAAAACAAAAAUACAUUUAGAUGAAAGAUUUCAUAAUCUCACUGUAAAAUGCAAGAAGAAAAACUAUAAAAUAUAGCAAUAUGUAAAAUAAAUGAUAAUAUAUAUUACAUUUAAUAUUCUACAAUACAGUAUGACCAACAGAAAUGUAUAAAAUAGAAGGAAGUCUAAAUUUAGAAAAUUUAAAAUGAGGCAAAUAUGAGUCAGGUGAAGAAUAAAUAAAUAUGAUGAAUUACAUUUAACAUAUCUUGACUUCACUUUUAUGUAAAAAUACAUAUUAAUAGUAAACACUUGUGUAGUGAUUUCACCAUAAUUUUAUUGCACUGUAGAAACAUAUUGACAUUUUUCCGUAGGGAGUACUAUUAAAGGUUUGUGGAUAUUAGUCCUCCAUGGGUUCAGCGUGGGGGGAAGGAGAGGCUACAACCUCUUCUAAAUUAAAAGAGAAGCAUAUAAUUUUAUAUUUAUUUUGCUACAAUUUAAAAUACACAAAGGCAUAUGAAUGAUUACCUUCUAACAUUUGUUUGAUUAUAUAGAAAUGCAUGACAGUUAUCAGACAUCUAAAAUACAUCAAAUAUCUAACAAGACAUAUAAAAUUUGUUUAGAAUCUUAGCCCUCUACAAAAUGCAGGGUUCACCAUUUUGAGUAUAUUGUUCAAGUUUCCUUCCUAUGACUGCUUCAGGUUCUGUUAUUUAUUAACACAGUACAUCUAAAAUUGUCACUGCUGGUCAUCUGGAAGAACCUGAGAAGUAGCAGGUUCUUGGUGUCAUUCCAAGAGCUGCAUUCGCUGCUAAAUAUGGUGAGAGUGCAGCCAGCUCAAGCCUCAUCUGAUCUACUAACAGGCUCAGUUAACUCCUGC
rnacentral:lncRNA from 10 species